rnacentral:rRNA from 1 species
CGCCUGUUUAUCAAAAACAUUUUUACUUACAAAGAAGAAGUAUAACCUGCCCAGUGAGGGUUAAACGGCUGCGGUAUUUUGACUGUGCUAAGGUAGCAUAAUCAUUUGUCACUUAAUUGGUAGCUGGAAUGAACGGUCGAACUGGUUUAGUAUGUGUGUAGGUUUAAACAGGAAGUUAAAGUCAAGGUAAGAAUUCUUUGAUAUUUUAGGGGACGAUAAGACCCUAUAAGCUUAAUAAAUAUAGUAAGAAUUUUGUGGUUUAAGUUAUUUUGUUUUACUGGGGCGGUACUAGUGGCUAGUCCAUUAGCUAAAUUAGGAUCCUUAAGAUAUAGAAGUUACGGAAAAGUUACUCUAGGGAUAACAGUGCAAUAUUCUUGGAGAGAUCUUAUCGAUAGGUAUGUUUGCAACCUCGAUGUUGAAUUAAAAUUUCUACGGGAGU